rnacentral:rRNA from 1 species
AUUGAACGCUGGCGGCAGGCCUAACACAUGCAAGUCGAACGGUAACAGGAAGCAGCUUGCUGCUUUGCUGACGAGUGGCGGACGGGUGAGUAAUGUCUGGGAAACUGCCUGAUGGAGGGGGAUAACUACUGGAAACGGUAGCUAAUACCGCAUAACGUCGCAAGACCAAAGAGGGGGACCUUAGGGCCUCUUGCCAUCGGAUGUGCCCAGAUGGGAUUAGCUAGUAGGUGGGGUAACGGCUCACCUAGGCGACGAUCCCUAGCUGGUCUGAGAGGAUGACCAGCCACACUGGAACUGAGACACGGUCCAGACUCCUACGGGAGGCAGCAGUGGGGAAUAUUGCACAAUGGGCGCAAGCCUGAUGCAGCCAUGCCGCGUGUACGAAGAAGGCCUUCGGGUUGUAAAGUACUUUCAGCGGGGAGGAAGGGAGUAAAGUUAAUACCUUGGCUCAUUGACGUUACCCGCAGAAGAAGCACCGGCUAACUCCGUG